rnacentral:tRNA from 1 species
UCCCUGGUGGUCCAGUGGUUAGGAUUCCUCACUUCCACUGGUGGGGGCCCAGGUUUGAUCCCUGAUUGGGGAC